rnacentral:rRNA from 1 species
GCCUGUUUAUCAAAAACAUCGCUCCUCGCUCACCAAAAAUGAGGAGUCGGACCUGCCCGGUGAAAUUUUUUAACGGCCGCGGUACUCUGACCGUGCAAAGGUAGCAUAAUCAUUUGCCUUAUAAUUGAAGGCUAGUAUGAAUGGUUUGACGAGAAUAUUACUGUCUCUCUAUGAUUUCUGAGAAAUUUAUCUUCAGGUGAAGAAGCCUGAAUGACAUUAAAAGACAAGAAGACCCUAUCGAGCUUAAAAUAAAUUAGUAGACUCAUCUUAUAUAUUGAUAAAAAAUUAGCUACUAAAUAUUUUGGUUGGGGCGACUGAGGAACAGAAAAAGCUUCCUGUUAUUUAAAAAAUAUACAAAUAUUGAUCCAGAACUGUACUGAUUGACGAAAUUAGUUACCGUAGGGAUAACAGCAUUAUCUUUUUUGAGAGUUCUAAUCGAAAAAAAGGUUUGUGACCUCGAUGUUGGACCAGAAUAUCCCGAAGAUGUAGCAGUCUUCAAAGGUUGGUCUGUUCGACCAUUAAAAUUCUACGUGAUCUGAGUUCA